rnacentral:tRNA from 1 species
GGCUGGCUAGCUCAGCUGAUUAGAGUGUGGGGCUAAUAAUGCUAAGGUCAUGGGUUCAAGCCCCAUGCUGGCCA